UGGGGAAUAUUGCACAAUGGGCGCAAGCCUGAUGCAGCCAUGCCGCGUGUAUGAAGAAGGCCUUCGGGUUGUAAAGUACUUUCAGCGGGGAGGAAGGUGGUAAGGUUAAUAACCUUGGCAAUUGACGUUACCGACAGAAGAAGCACCGGCUAACUCCGUGCCAGCAGCCGCGGUAAUACGGAGGGUGCAAGCGUUAAUCGGAAUUACUGGGCGUAAAGCGCACGCAGGCGGUUGAUUGAGUCAGAUGUGAAAUCCCCGGGCUUAACCCGGGAAUUGCAUCUGAUACUGGUCAGCUAGAGUCUUGUAGAGGGGGGUAGAAUUCCAUGUGUAGCGGUGAAAUGCGUAGAGAUGUGGAGGAAUACCGGUGGCGAAGGCGGCCCCCUGGACGAAGACUGACGCUCAGGUGCGAAAGCGUGGGGAGCAAACAGG
rnacentral:rRNA from 1 species